GGAAGUUGCAGUUAUCAAUGCCAAUGACAAAAGUCAAGAAGAUUAGUAAUUUAUUACUUUUGUUUUUGAUAAAUAAUUAAAGAUCUCUCCUUGGUAAAUAAAAGUGAAUUAAUUUUGAUACAAAACAGAAGUCUUGAAAGGAUUCGAUUCAAUUUCCUUUCUUAUACAUAGAUGAGCAUGGUCAUUACAACUUCACAGACAUCUCGAAGAGUCCUCACCCAACCCAGUUGGAUAUAUAGCUCACCUGAGUGACCUAGCAAACAUGAUCAACUUUGAAGGUGCACUGCUAAUAGAGCAAGAGCUUCAAAUAGAAAAGAUCUUUCAUGAAAAUUUCAAUGGUAAUAUUAAAUAGUUGAUCAUUAUACAUUAGGAAUCAACUAAUUCCAAAAU
rnacentral:misc_RNA from 1 species